rnacentral:rRNA from 1 species
CUACGGGCCGCACCAGUGAGGAAUAUUGCACAAUGGGGGGAACCCUGAUGCAGCAACGCCGCGUGGAGGAUGACGCAUUUCGGUGUGUAAACUCCUUUUAUAUGUCAAGAAAAUGACGGUAGCAUAUGAAUAAGCGCCGGCUAACUCCGUGCCAGCAGCCGCGGUAAUACGGAGGGCGCAAGCGUUACUCGGAAUCACUGGGCGUAAAGGACGCGUAGGCGGGUUGAAAAGUCAGGUGUGAAAGCCUACAGCUUAACUGUAGAACUGCACUUGAAACUCUCAACCUAGAGUAUGGGAGGGGCAGAUGGAAUUAGUGGUGUAGGGGUAAAAUCCGUAGAUAUCACUAGGAAUACCUAAAGCGAAGGCGAUCUGCUGGAACAUUACUGACGCUAAGGCGUGAAAGCGUGGGGAACAAACAGGAUUAGAUACCCCCGUAGUC